AGGCUUAACACAUGCAAGUCGAGCGGGCGUAGCAAUACGUCAGCGGCAGACGGGUGAGUAACGCGUGGGAACGUACCUUUUGGUUCGGAACAACACAGGGAAACUUGUGCUAAUACCGGAUAAGCCCUUACGGGGAAAGAUUUAUCGCCGAAAGAUCGGCCCGCGUCUGAUUAGCUAGUUGGUAGGGUAACGGCCUACCAAGGCGACGAUCAGUAGCUGGUCUGAGAGGAUGAUCAGCCACAUUGGGACUGAGACACGGCCCAA
rnacentral:rRNA from 1 species